CAGCUUUUUCUAGACGGCUCUUCCUCAUGAUUUGCAUUUUAGCCAGAGGCGACCAGUUAUUAAAAAAACAUGAUGGAAAGAUGGUAAGAAGCCAAUUAGAUGGAUGGAUGGCUGACUGACAGCUCUCUGGUAUUACGACUCCAGAUUUCAGACUACAUAGCCUGGCAGUUUUCUUCAAGAACCAACUUUUUUGCAGCUCAAACCCUGGAGGGGUCAGAGGACUAACUGGGGCCAACAGCCAUUAGCGAGAUACCAAGAAGCACAAGCAAAGAAAGAAGAUGAGAAAACUGAGGGCAAGUGGUGGUACAUAACUUGUUUGAAGUCGCACAGCUAAUACGAGUGAUUCAAAUCUCAACAUCCUUAAAGGAAUUCUGAUUUCAAGUUUGAAAUAAGAACCAUCCUUUGUGUGGAUUCGGAUGACAGAAGUCGAGAAUGAACAGAUGUCUUUCAACAAGGAACAUUAAGAAAAUGAAUAUUUGAUGUCAUGAAAUUUGAUUUCAUGAAGCAUCAGAAAAGCACAGGCAUGGCAACUGGCCCAAUCACUGCUGCUGACUGCUCCUGCAGUCUUGUUCUCAGUGACAAUAAACAAUGCCACCUUCUCUUGUGAUUGAUCCAUGAUGGACAUGAAGUAACACUGAGAAUAAACCUAUGUUGUUUUAAGACACUGAUAUUUGGGACUUAUUCUCACUACUACAGAAUAAACUCUUCUAUUCUGACUGAACCAACUAUUACUAAAAAAGAGAAGAAAAAGGACAUUUUUGGACUCACAGCGGCUCAGCUAUUUUAUUUCCUAAGCAUCAGUUCUUAAGACAUUACUCGAAAAUAUACUCCAGGGAAAUGAGAGAGUAAACCACAAAAGAGGAUGACAAGAUCUGGAAAAAUGUAACUCUAUCUCAGCAAAAUAAAAAAGGGAAGUCUCAGUAUGGGCAGGAGAACAGAAGGUAAAAGAAAAGAGGACUCUGGGUUGGGCGAGGUGGCUCACACCUGUAAUCCCAGCACUUCGGGAGGCUGAGACAGGCAGAUCGCAAGGUCAGGAGUUCAAGACCAUCCUGACCAAUGUGGUGAAAUCCCAUCUCUACUAAAAAUACAAAAAUUAGCUGAGUGUGGUGGUGCAUACCUGUAAGCCCAACUACUCAGGACGCUGAGGCAGGAGAAUCACUUAAACCCGGGAGGCGGAGAUUGCAGUGAGCCGAGAUCGCACCACUGUACUCCAGCCUGAUGACAGAGCAAGACUCCAUCUAAAAAAAAAAAAAAAAAAAAAAAAAAGGAAAAGAGGGUACUAUACCAAAUAGAAUAUUAUUGACUUAUUAGAGGAACUUGGAAAAAUGACAAAGAAAAAAGUGUGUUAAAAAGGAGGAGGAGUGUAAUAGAAACACUACUGAUAUUGUUUGGUUCUGUGUCCCCACUCAAAUCUCAUCUUGAAUUGUAAUUCCCAUAUGUCUAGGGAGGGACAUGUAAACCUCAUGUGUCGAAGGACGGAGGUGACUGGAUCGUAGGGGUUCCCCCAUGGUUCUCAUGAUAGAGAGUUCUCACGAGAUCUGAUCAUUUUGUAAAGCAGUUUUCUCUGCUUUUGCUCACUUCUCUCUCCUGCUGUUUCUUGAAGAAGGUGUUUGCUUCCCCUUUGCCUUCAGCCAUGAUUGGAAGUUUCCUGAGGCCUCCCUGUGAGUCAAUUAAACCUCUUUCCAUUACAAAUUACCCAGUCUCAGGGAAAUUCUUCAUAGCAGUGUGAAAGCUGACGAAUACAACUACCCACUCAUCCCCUGUCUUCCAAAAAACUACGCAAAUCAGGAUUCAAAGAUGACUCAAGCAGGAGUUUGAGACCAGCCUGGCAAACAUGGUGAAACCCAGUCUGUACCAAAAAUGUAAAAAAUUAGCCUUGUGUGGUGGCCUCCACCUGUAAUCCCAGCUACUCAGGAGCCUGAGGCAGGAGAAUCGCUUGAACC